rnacentral:rRNA from 1 species
AGACCUUUAGUUUGAACCCCGAAACCAGGUGAGCUACCCCGAGACAGCCUAUAUUGGUUUAGGGCUAACCCGUCUCUGUGGCAAAAGAAUGGGAAGAGCUCCGGGUAGAAGUGACAGACCUACCGAACCUGGUGAUAGCUGGUUGCCUGAGAAGUGGAUAGAAGUUCAGCCUCGCACACCCCAAGCCAGAGAAUACACCGCUAAGGCACUCAGGGAAAUGUGGGAGAGUUAGUUCAAGGGGGUACAGCCCCUUUAACAAAGGAUACAACCUUUGCAGGAGGAUAAAGAUCAUAAUAUAUGAAACAUGCUGCUCUAGUGGGCCUAAAGGCAGCCACCUAAACAGAAAGCGUUAAAGCUCAGGCAGAAAGAAGUUUAUUAUACCGAUAAAAAAUCUUACUCCCCUAAUUAUAUCAGGCCAACCCAUGCCAACAUGGAAGAGAUUAUGCUAAAAUGAGUAACAAGAAAACCUGCUCUUCUCCCAGCACAAGUGUAAGCCAGAUCGGACUAACCACUGGAACUUAACGAACCCAACCCAAGAGGGUAGUGUGAAUAGUACAGACCCCAAGAAGAACUCACAACUAAACAAUCGUUAACCACACACUGGAGUGCUAUUAUAAAGGAAAGACUAAAAGAGGGGGAAGGAACUCGGCAAACACAAGCCUCGCCUGUUUACCAAAAACAUCGCCUCCUGCAACUAUAUUGAGUAUAGGAGGUCCAGCCUGCCCAGUGACUACGGGUUCAACGGCCGCGGUAUUUUGACCGUGCAAAGGUAGCGCAAUCACUUGUCUCUUAAAUAGAGACCUGUAUGAAUGGCUAGACGAGGGCUUAACUGUCUCCCCCCUCCAGUCAGUGAAAUUGAUCUAUCCGUGCAGAAGCGGGUAUAAUUAUACAAGACGAGAAGACCCUUUGGAGCUUAAGGUACAAAAUCCAACCACGUUAAACGACCCCCUAAAGGGCAAGAACUUAGUGGCCAAUGAAGUUUUACCUUCGGUUGGGGCGACCACGGAGGAGAAAAAAGCCUCCGAGUGGACUGGGUUAAAACCCAAAGCUAAGAGAUACAUCUCUAAGCCGCAGAACAUCUGACCAAAAGUGAUCCGGCUAAAAAGCCGAUCAACGAACCAAGUUACCCUAGGGAUAACAGCGCAAUCCUCUCCCAGAGUCCAUAUCGACGAGGGGGUUUACGACCUCGAUGUUGGAUCAGGACAUCCUAAUGGUGCAGCCGCUAUUAAGGGU